rnacentral:rRNA from 1 species
UACGUAGGGAGCGAGCGUUGUCCGGAAUUACUGGGUGUAAAGGGAGCGUAGGCGGGAUCGCAAGUUGGAUGUCUAAUCUAUCGGCUCAACCGGUAUUCGCAUUCAAAACUGUGAUUCUUGAGUGAAGUAGAGGCAGGCGGAAUUCCUAGUGUAGCGGUGAAAUGCGUAGAUAUUAGGAGGAACACCAGUGGCGAAGGCGGCCUGCUGGGCUUUUACUGACGCUGAGGCUCGAAAGUGUGGGGAGCAAACAGG